UACCCGCUGAACUUAAGCAUAUCAAUAAGCGGAGGAAAAGAAACCAACAGGGAUUGCCUCAGUAACGGCGAGUGAAGCGGCAACAGCUCAAAUUUGAAAUCUGGCCCCGUCGGGGUCCGAGUUGUAAUUUGUAGAGAGUGUUUCGGGUGAGACCAUGGUCUAAGUCUAUUGGAACAUGGCGUCAUAGAGGGUGAGAAUCCCGUAUGUGACCGUGGCUCGAGCCCAUGUGAAGCCUCUUCGACGAGUCGAGUUGUUUGGGAAUGCAGCUCAAAAUGGGUGGUAAAUUUCAUCUAAAGCUAAAUACUGGCUGGAGACCGAUAGCGCACAAGUAGAGUGAUCGAAAGAUGAAAAGCACUUUGGAAAGAGAGUCAAAAAGNACGUGAAAUUGUUGAAAGGGAAGCGCUUGCAACCAGACCUGUCCGUAGGUGAUCAGCCGCUGUUCUCAGCGGUGCACUCGCUCUGCGAUCAGGCCAGCAUCGGUUUCGGCGGUCGGAUAAAGGCCUUGGGAAUGUAGCUUCCUUCGGGGAGUCUUAUAGCCCUCGGUGCAAUGCGGCCAGCCGGGACCGAGGACCGCGCUUCGGCUAGGAUGCUGGCGUAAUGGUUGUAAGCGACCCGUCUUGAAACACGGACCAAGGAGUCUAACAUCUAUGCGAGUGUUUGGGUGUCAAACCCAUGCGCGGAAUGAAAGUGAACGGAGGUGAGAACCCUUUAGGGCGCAUCAUCGACCGAUCCAGAUGUCUUCGGAUGGAUUUGAGUAUGAGCAUAGCUGUUGGGACCCGAAAGAUGGUGAACUAUGCCUGAAUAGGGUGAAGCCAGAGGAAACUCUGGUGGAGGCUCGCAGCGGUUCUGACGUGCAARUCGAUCGUCAWAUYUG
rnacentral:rRNA from 1 species